CCUACGGGUGGCAGCAGUGAGGAAUAUUGGUCAAUGGCCGUAAGGCUGAACCAGCCAAGUCGCGUGAAGGAAGAAGGAUCUAUGGUUUGUAAACUUCUUUUAUAGGGGAAUAAAGGUAUCCACGUGUGGAUAUUUGCAUGUACCCUAUGAAUAAGCAUCGGCUAACUCCGUGCCAGCAGCCGCGGUAAUACGGAGGAUGCGAGCGUUAUCCGGAUUUAUUGGGUUUAAAGGGUGCGUAGGCGGACUGUUAAGUCAGCGGUAAAAGCCCGGGGCUCAACCCCGGCGAGCCGUUGAAACUGGCUGUCUUGAGAUGUCGAGAGGUAUGCGGAAUGCGCAGUGUAGCGGUGAAAUGCAUAGAUAUCACACAGAACACCGAUUGCGAAGGCAUCUCACGAAUCCGCGAUUGACGCUGAUGCACGAAAGCGUGGGUAUCAAACAGGAUUAGAUACCCCGGUAGUC
rnacentral:rRNA from 1 species